UACGGGGGGAGCAAGCGUUGUUCGGAUUUACUGGGCGUAAAGGGCGCGUAGGCGGCCACUGCAAGUCGGUUGUGAAAUCUCCGGGCUUAACCCGGAAAGGUCAACCGAUACUGCAGGGCUAGAGUGCGGAAGGGGCAACUGGAAUUCUCGGUGUAGCGGUGAAAUGCGUAGAUAUCGAGAGGAACACCUGCGGCGAAGGCGGGUUGCUGGGCCGACACUGACGCUGAGGCGCGAAAGCGUGGGUAGCAAACAGG
rnacentral:rRNA from 1 species